AUGGCGGUGCGGUGGCCGUCGACCGCCGUGGCCGCGUGCGCGAUCGGCGCGAGCCUCCUAGUCCUGUGCACGCUCAUGGCGUCGUCGGCGUCGGCCCAGGCGCCGCCGCCACAGGUGCGUACGGUGCCCAAGGGCAGCAACCUGGUGGUGAUCAAGCCGGGGGGCGGGAAGCGCAACAGCAAGUUCACCUGCACCGACACCAAGAAGAAGCGGCCCGGGUGCGAGGCCACCUGCCCCAGCCGCUGCCCCAAAGAGUGCCUCGUCCUCUGCCCAUCCUGCAUGACCUUCUGCCUGUGUGACUUCUACGCGGGGGCGUCGUGCGGCGACCCGCGCUUCACCGGCGGCGACGGCAACAACUUCUACUUCCACGGCAAGAAGAACCAGGACUUCUGCAUCCUCUCCGACGACGACCUCCACAUCAACGCGCACUUCAUCGGCAACCACAACCCCGCGACGAGCCGCGACUUCACCUGGAUCCAGGCCGUGGGUGUCAUGUUCGCCCACCACCGCCUCCACCUCGGCGCCGUGCGUUCCACCCGGUGGGACUCCGACGUCGACCACCUUGACAUCGCCUUCGACGACGAGCGCGUCGAUCUGGCUCCCGCCGACGGCGCGCGCUGGUCGUCCACCUCCGUGCCAGGCCUCUCCAUCACCCGCACGGCGCAGGCCAACAACGUCGUCGUCGAGCUCAAAGGGGUGUUCCGGAUCGUGGCCAAUGCCGUGCCCAUCACCGCCGAGGAGUCAAAGGUGCACAGCUAUGGCGUCACCGCCGACGACUGCCUCGCGCACCUCGACCUCGGGUUCAAGUUCCAGGCCCUCUCCGACGACGUCCACGGCGUGCUCGGCCAGACCUACCGCUCCGACUACGUCAACAAGCUCAACGUCACCUCGAAGAUGCCCGUCAUGAGCGGCACCGCCGACUACGUCUCCUCGGCCCUGUUCGCCUCGGACUGCGCCGUCACGAGGUUCGGCCGCCCCGCCGCGGCAACAGCACGCACCGCCGGCGGCAUCGCCAUGGUCACGGACGCCAAGUACGUGUAG
rnacentral:rRNA from 1 species